rnacentral:hammerhead_ribozyme from 1 species
AUCCAUCUGACGAGCCCCAAAUAGGACGAAACGCGCGUCCUCGAU